CAGAUGAGCAUCUUGAGGAUAAUGAGGCAGAAUACAUCCACUGGCUAGUAGGGAACAUACCAGGAGGAGCAGUGCAUGCUGGGGAGGAGCUGUGUCACUACCUGCCCCCCUUCCCUGCCAGAGGAACGGGCUUCCACCGCUACGUUUAUGUCCUCUUCAAGCAGGAGCGGCACAUCAACUUACAGGAGGAUGCCAGGCCGUCGCCAUGCCAUUCUCUGGUGGAUCGUACAUUCAAGACGUUGGAUUUCUACAGAAAGCACCAGGACAAUAUAACACCUGCAGGCCUGGCAUUCUUCCAGUGCCAGUGCGAUGAAUCUGUCACCAACACCUUUCACAACACACUCA